GUGGGGAAUUUUGGACAAUGGGCGCAAGCCUGAUCCAGCAAUGCCGCGUGCAGGAAGAAGGCCUUCGGGUUGUAAACUGCUUUUGUACGGAACGAAACGGUCCUGGUUAAUACCUGGGGCUAAUGACGGUACCGUAAGAAUAAGCACCGGCUAACUACGUGCCAGCAGCCGCGGUAAUACGUAGGGUGCGAGCGUUAAUCGGAAUUACUGGGCGUAAAGCGUGCGCAGGCGGUGCUGUAAGACAGGCGUGAAAUCCCCGGGCUCAACCUGGGAAUUGCGCUUGUGACUGCAGUGCUGGAGUACGGCAGAGGGGGAUGGAAUUCCGCGUGUAGCAGUGAAAUGCGUAGAUAUGCGGAGGAACACCGAUGGCGAAGGCAAUCCCCUGGACCUGUACUGACGCUCAUGCACGAAAGCGUGGGGAGCAAACAGGAUUAGAAACCCCGGUAGUCC
rnacentral:rRNA from 1 species